CAGUGGGAAAGAGCUGUGUCGUGAUAAAGGAAAGCGGACAGCCUUGAUAAAGCUUUUUAAAGGAAUUCCUUCCUUUCCCCACUGUUACCUGUCUGGCCACAAAUCACUCACAGCCAGACGGAGCGAGGCUUGCAAGAGCUGACUUACUGGCAGAGACCAAACUGUGUCACUUCUCAAAGCGGGAGUAGCCAGACCUGCUGCAGAAGCAGCCUUCCUUCUAGAUUUCAACAUGGAAUUUUUAUGUGGUUGUGCUUGCUCCUCUUCGGUGUUAUAAAACAGUCAAGCAAGAUGAAUAUGGCUGGGAGCUCCUUCCGAGUGAACUGCAGCAAAAGCAAAUGAGCAAACCAAGAGAGAAGACACUGGAUUUGGGAAACCAUGACUGAGAUACAAGAGUGUGAUAAUACCAGAAUCACAUCCAGGCCCUACAUCCUGAGGAAUCCUGAGAUCUCUGAGCCAAGACUGAAGCCAAAUAAGGAAAAGCUUCAGGGGAAGGUCAUUACGGAAAAAGUAGUCCCCCUUCAUCUGCAGUUUCACUUUCCCCGGUUUCAGUUACCAGUAGUCAAACGCUGUCCGGAAGCAGAACCUCCUCCUUCAGAAGGUCAAGAGUAGCAAACACCACAUCACGAUGCCGCCGUUGUUCACUUCUCUGCAUAUUAUCAGACAGGAAUGUCAGCAUCAAGGACCGAUUUUGCCUAUAAUUGACUUCAUUUCAUUGAAAGGAAAAAUGAACAAAAAUGGAAGUUUUUUCAAAUGGACUGGUUAGAUUAGCCAAAAACAAAAUCAGCGGCACCACUAGAGGGAGCUUUAUUCAAACGUUGCCAACAGUCAAGCUGCUACCAGUACAGGAUUUUUGACUGCUCGCCUACUCAUUCUGCUUCUGGAAGGAUCAUUCAUAAGAGAGACAGACAGACAGACAGACAGACAGACAAACUUUCUCGAAACCAGUUAGAGAAAAAAAAAUUGAAGAAGUGAAAAUACUUCCAGGUCUUUAGAGAGAAGCUCAAUUUUCCCACUGUCCAAGAGGGAGAGUUACCGGAAGUGCUUUGACCCAUUCUGAACAAUGAGAUUACCUGCGUCUUUGCCCCUGUGCUGUACAGGCCAGCCGUCCUUCCCAUGGCAGCGGCGCUUGGUAUGCAGAAGAAAAAUGAAGGAAUCACGUUGCUGAGGCCGUGGGCCAAAAAUUCCUACAAGAUGGGUAAUAGGAGAAUAUACCAUUACUCAAUCACAAUCAACUUUUGGUGACCACAGGUGCAUCCUGUCAAAGGAUGAGGCUUGUUUGUAUCCCAUUUCUGUUCUCCCCAUUUGUUGUGACUUAACCACCACUACAAAAAUAGCUGACUUUUAUAGAGUGCUUACAAUGAGCCAGAAGCUGUUGCAAGCAUUUUACUCAUUUAAUGCUUGUAACCACCUUAUAGGGAAGUACAAGGAUUUAUGGUCUCUGUUGCCCAUUUCUCCUCCAUCUUUUAAGUCACGAUGUUCGAGGCUUUUGCCCCCACCACUCCACCAAUGAUACCCACAAAGCUAAAUCCAGUGGUUAGAUCUUACCUACUUGGCCUAAAAGCGGCAUCUGAGAUAGUUGCUCACUUCCUCCUCCUUAAAGGCUCCUUCUGGGUCCUUUUAGGACCUCACACUCUCCUAUUUUACCCUUAUCUCUGUGACCACUCCUUCUCAAUUAUCUUUAUGGUUCCUUCUCACCAAACCAAUCACAAGUAUGGGAGCAUUUCUCUCUCUGAUCCUAUGUAUCCAAAUAUAUGCUGACAACUCACAAGUCUACAUCUCCAGCCUGGACCACUCUUCUGAACUCCAGACUCAUAUGGCCAACCCGCUUCUCGGCAUUCCAUUUGGAUGGCUGACAGAUCCUUGAGCAAGAGCCAGGGAGGCCACGUAGCCAACAAGUGCCACUCCAAAAGCUUCAGUGAUUACUGCAGAGAGGACAUUCAUCGGGGGAGCUCUAGGUGGAGGGAUUCUGUGGAAAGAAAAACCAUGCUGAAGUCAUCAACUUUCAUGUAAUUUCUGUAACAACUUGCAAUGAAUUCAACUGUGGUAAUGACUAUGAAGUUUACAUAGAAAAAGUGAAACACCCAUGUGAAAACCAAGCAGCCUUGCCCUGAGAAGCCCUUUGUUUUCAAUAUUACUUAGCAGAAAAGCAAAAUCACAAGGAUCGCCAUGGUGACAGCUCCAUGCGUCCAUCAGGCAUUUACGCCCAGGGAAUUCAGGUUUUACACUACAGAAACUCUGACUCAAGGAAAAUGUUCUGUACCAGAACAAAAGCAAAUCUGGAGUGUUCUUUCAUUCGAACUUUUCCAAAUAUUUAAUUGGCAGGCGUUAGAGACUGUACUUCCUGCCCUGAGUACUACAGUGUUGUACAAACAAUGGUUUAUUGUGAGCUAUAAUUCUUGAGCUAAUCCCUAACUUCGCCAUUGAGUUCAUAAUCUUAAUUAUGUUUUUAACUCGAUCCUUUCACAGUACACUAUGCAUCACAUAUGUGAAGAAAAACGUGGAUAAAGGCUCCAUCUACCCUCCGUUGUGAAAUACAGGCCACAGUUAGCUGUUUCCCAGUUUUAAAGAACUGUUUAAAUUAUUUCUUUCAACUAAUACCCAGCCAUUGUCUUACUGUGUUUUGAAAAGCACUUGAGCCAAGGUAUCAUUGUUGAUUUAUAUCCCUGAUGAUACUUUGGAAGACUUACUUCCUCUUCAAAAACAAACAAAAAAUCCCUCUGGGGAAAAAGUAGGGACAAAAGGGAAGAUAAUUGAUGUUGACUUAAUACCUAGCAUGAAAGUGGAAUGUUCAACCCUUUCAAUUAGCAGUUUCAUUGUCUACACAACCCUAGACCAAGCGCCACUCAUGCACUCUGGCAGAGAAAACAUUUUAAGAAAGUUUAGGUAAUGCAUCUAAGUCACAAAUCGAAUGAUAGAGCUGGGGUUCACCAUCUCUUUUCAAUGCCACACUCUUUCUAUGAUUCCUUGAGAAUAGGUCUAGAAAGGUCAUUCAAAAUUAAGGAGAAAUAAAGCAGUGGGGGAGAGGCAUGAUUUUUUUUUAUCCACUAACUAAAGUUUACCCCCAAGAGAAAUUGAUCUCUAACAUUACAGGCCCUAAGAUAUCUUAAUAUGAUGUACAAAGUGUUGCCAUUUCAGAGUACAUGAAUUUCUGUUUUCUAAAAACUGAGCUUGACUAAUUAUUAACAACAAUAAGCUGACCCAGAAAGAAACAAUAAGUUGACUUUUGAAGGUGGAAAAGUAGAGAAUCCUGUAGAAAACCCAAGAUGAUUUAAAUAAUAACCUGUAUCUACAUAAAGGCUAAAGACAGUUGUUUUUUCUAAUUAUCUUGAUAACCUCUGAGAAUUUUUCUACGUUCUUCCAUUUUAAUGUAAUUACAAACCAAAAUUUUGGACUGGAAGAUAAAAAUACAGAGGACUCAACAACUGUAACUUUGCUGGACAUUUAUAAACACUGGUGUAUAUAUAGCCCAUUAAGAGGGAAUAACCCAUAACACACCCCUCUCUUCCCUAAGAUGUCUUUAUGUUCCUUCAGACUAUAUUUGGAUCACGUUUUGCCCUUCAGGGUCAACAUUUCACAUUAACCUUCCUCUUGGUGUCCACAGGAAGGCUUUAAGAAACCUUCUCCGCUUUUACCCUCCCUCACCAUUAUACACCACCUAGGCCUAUGUGCGGGGUUAUUAUUUCAGAUGAUGCUUCUGUACUUUUACUAUGUAUGAAGUGAAAUAAAAAUAGUCAUAAGAAUAUGUGAGUGGAAUAGGGAACAAUAAAUCCCAGGGGUGUGACCAUAAUUUGAAAAUUCAAUGUCCUCCUUUUUUCCCCAAAUAAUAUUUUAGUAAAUAAUUUGCAAAUCUUUCACCUGAAGUAAGGCUGUAUGAGAUAGUCAUCAACUUCCCUACUAAUAGGCAAACAGUUUAUGAAGUUACUCUUUCUCCAUAUGUGUAUUAUUUCUUCCUAUUAUUUUCAAACAGAAAUUAAUUAGAAUUUUGUCCUAUAGAGAGCCUUUGAAAGAAAUGAAAUCCAUAGCCACCUACCCCAAGUCCUUUCCUUCAUCAAAACCAAACAAACCAACAAAAAAGGAAGAAAGAAAGAAAAAGACUACAUUACCCUUUUGGAAUAUGACCAACUACUUCUAAUCCAUAUGUGAUUUCCAUAUUGGUACAAUAACAAGCAAAUGAUGCAGCAAUAAUCUGUGUGGUUCCAUUUGAAAAAAGAAAAAGAAAAUUAUUACUGGCCUCUCAAACACCUUGAAACUAUUUUUAAAAGUAAACAUUGUUCAUGUGCCCC